GCGAUGGUGGUAUAGUGGUCAGCAUAGCUACUUGCCAAGCAGUUGACCCGGGUUCGAUUCCCGGCCAUCGCA